UACGGAGGGUGCGAGCGUUGUCCGGAAUCAUUGGGCGUAAAGGGCGCGUAGGUGGCGGGACAAGCGUGCGGUGAAAGCCUGGGGCUCAACCCCGGGUCGGCCGUGCGAACUGUUUUGCUUGAGCACUGUAGAGGCAGGCGGAAUUCCGGGUGUAGCGGUGGAAUGCGUAGAGAUCCGGAAGAACACCGGAGGCGAAGGCGGCCUGCUGGGCAGUAGCUGACACUGAGGCGCGACAGCGUGGGGAGCAAACAGG
rnacentral:rRNA from 1 species